AGCAGGCGGUGGGCUCCACCGCCGUGGUCGCCGUCGUGGGCCCCCGCCGCAUCGUGGUCGCGAACUGCGGCGACUCCCGCGCCGUCCUCUCCCGCGGCGGCGUCGCCGUGCCGCUCUCCUCCGACCACAAGGUACAAGUGUCCUGUGUCCAACACCCGCACAGCUCCCAAAACCAAACCGCCUGACACCAUCAGGGGCGGCAAACUGAGAACUUGCCAAGUGUUCCAGAUCCGCAUUAAUCUAGACCUGUGAGCGAUCCGUCUGCGAAUUAUAGGGACGCAACGCAUCGACGUCGGCGUCAUGACGGCAGCGUCUCCGCCAAGAUCUUUUUUUGGUGGGGGGUCGGAUCACAGGUGUCGCGUGCCGGGCACAAAGCCUCCACGCUCUCAGCGCGCACCGCCUCAACAACCCCUUUCGCGUGCCGCCGUGUCGAAACAGGAGGGCUUGACCGUGCCGCAGCUGAUACAACACGGAAUUGCUGCCGUCUCACUAGUAAGUAAAGUUAAUAGGUUAAUUUUCAGUUACUCCUUUCACUUGGUUAAUGUAGGGAGAGCUUGACUCCGGUGCAAAUUUUGGCAUGAUUGGGAAGCAAGAACAAAUCGGGCAGAAAUUUCACAUGAGGCCAAAAGAAACUCUUCCUCAGACAUGAGCCCCUAGCUCCUGUAUCUCCGUGGCCUGUCUCUGUCUAAACUAUGCUCAGGUUCUCUUUUGGGGAACGAAAUCGAAAAGGUUCCAUUGCAGUAAUCCACUCAUGCUAUAUAGUUUAGAAGGGUGGUAAUUGUGUGCACUGCACCGGGAGAGCCAAGUUUCUUUCUUUCUUUCGAUGGUUAGCUCGGUUCAGUCCUUGAGAUUUGUACUGACCUCUGCUCCUGUAUUUUCGUUGAAAACCUCAGACUGGAGUACUGCGUUUUCAGAGUCCUGAAUUACUGUUUGUUGUGAUAUAGUCUACUAUUCUGAGUUCUUUAGUUUAUCUAUGUCAUUUCUCUUGGCAAAGUUGGGUGGUGUUGUGGCUCUUUGGAAAAUACAACAGUUACGUACAAAUAGAUUUGUUUGGGAAAAUUGCCCAUGUCAUUGAUUCGGUUGUUUAUGGUAAAUGUCAUACAAUACUAACACCUUAUUCAGUACUAGUUGUGCUUAAAAUGUGCCAUAUAGGAUGCUUCACCAUUUAAUCUAACAUCUUCAAAGGUAAGAUAUUUAAGCUUUCUAUCUUUUAUCAAUGUCAGAAGUACUGGGUUACAGCAUAGGAUCAAUCUGUCAAAAAAAAAAGAACAGAUUGACUUUUGUUGCCGAAAGGCUUCUGUGACAAUGUUUAAGGUUCCUUCUUUUUGUCUUUUAGUUUUUAAGUGCUAAUGGCAUGCUGCAGACGUGGUUCACAUUAUUUGGAGGGUUAAAUAUCUCAAGAGGGUGUGAUACAUUCGUUGGUAUGGUAUAGCUUGAAACAAGAUAGUGGAUACAAUAAUGGGGAAUAAAUUGCUUGACAUUUUGGUGUGUCAAUGGAGUAGGGGUGGGUGUCAAUAUGCAAGUGUUGAACAAUAACACUAUUAAUGUUAAAGAGAAACAAUUUUGUUUAGAUGUGGGUUUGUCAAGUCAUACCAAGUGCGAUGGUCGCUUACCAGGCUGCUGCUUUAAGAUUUCUAUUUGUCGGCUUGGUCUUUUCACUCCGGGUGUGGGGACCAACCUCGAUCAUGUGUCAUGCAAGCCUUAAAACUCUAAUGAUGUAGGAUGUGCAUAGAGAUUAUGCAACUGUUCUGCAGGUGUCCUUAACGAAAUUGGUCAAUGCGAGGAUAUGGUUUUAAAAUGUGGCAUAGCUUCUCCUAAAUAUGAGAAAGCUCCAGUUGCCAAAAAAGUGUCAUAUUCACUAAUUUUAUUUAGAAUUACCUUGCUAGGAUGUAGGCGCCAGGAGAGUGCAAUGACAGUCCAAGUGAUUAAUAAAGGUGGUGAAAGAAAAAUCUCUGUUUGGUACUCCGGCAAUAGUUGAACUUUGAAGUUUCCUACUGCACUUGAUACGACUUGAUAUGCUCGCAACGAGAACAGAUUUUUUCUUGACCUCAUUUAUGUGCCAUGCUUCCUUUAGAAACCUACCUCAAUUUCUCCCAACGUGAUCUUUUGAUGAUAACAUCUUUAUAUAAAAGCACUGCUGUUGAUUGUAUCCAUCAUUUUGAACUGCAAGUUGUUCAAGUUGUCUAUACUCUGUAGAGUACAGGAAACAAUGACCCCUAGAAAGCCUGAAUGUGAAAUGAACCAUGCUCAGCUCUAAGUUGCAUUAUAUUGAUAAGGUUCUUCAUAUUAAAACGAAAUGUGAUUUGAUCUAUGUUCUGCUCUAAGUUCUGCAAUGUCUAAUCAUUUACCGAGUCCAGGUUUUCGGGUUAGUGGAAGUGAUGUUGUCUCUUUUGUUUGACGAUGUAACACACUUUUGAAUUAGUCUAUUAUUUGGAUUCAAUUCGAGAUUUCUUUUCCUACAACUGUACCUCUUUUACAGUUUCAACCUUGUCUAACCUGUAACGUUUGCCACAGGUAAUGCUAAUGAAUACUUUGUUUUAACUGUACAGCCAGACCGCCCGGAUGAGUUGGAAAGAGUAGAAGCAGCAGGUGGUAGGGUCAUCAACUGGAAUGGUUACCGUGUCCUGGGGGUGCUUGCGACAUCAAGGUCAAUUGGGGACUAUCACCUGAAACCAUAUGUGACAGCGGAACCAGAAGUGACAG